AGAGAGAGCUCAGCAUUCUGCCCAGACUCUCUCUACACUGUGAGUGUCGAGUCCCAUAUGACUAAAUCCCUCCUUAGGUGAAACACCCACUGGGGAGGCGUUUGUCACCAAUGCGGCCACAAGCAUGACUCCAGGCUGUGCCAGGGGAGCUCAGUGGGCAGCAGGAAGGAAGAGAUCUGAGCAGGUUCAGCAAGGAACGCAAACCUCCUGGCAGAGAUGGUAAUGAAUCCACGGCAAGAAACAGAGGGGUCCCGAUGUUCAACAGCACGGGCACAACCAAUUACAAAGUCGGCCUUGUCUGAAUUCCUGUUUUGGCUGAAAAUUCAUAUCUAGCAAGAGCUAUUGACUUGAUGGGCUGUUUCCUGGUGACGGCGUUCCAUCUGUGGGGUGGAGUGUGUUGUCAAGAAAUUUAAGCCCCAGAUUCUCCAGCAAUGAUUUGGAGACAAGGGACAUGAAAAGGAGAAUUUUAAAGAUGCUGGGGUCUUGUCUCUGAUGAAUGUUAACGCUCCAGGGAAGCCAGCAGCAUUUUCCCCAAGAAGCAACUCUGCCACCUCUGUGACCCCUCAGCUGGUCUCGACUGCCACGCACAGGGCCCGUCUGGAGGCUCCGCCCACCCACCACUGGAUGGAAAGGGCAAAGGGCGUUCCGUCUGCCCUGCACCGAGGGCCCCUUACAAAGCUCUCAUUGUGCCAUUCUCAAUGGGAGGCUCUGUUGGAUGGCAAUAAUAUUAUUUUCUGCUG